GUGGGGAAUUUUGGACAAUGGGCGCAAGCCUGAUCCAGCCAUUCCGCGUGAGUGAAGAAGGCCUUCGGGUUGUAAAGCUCUUUCGGCCGGGAAGAAAUCGCCAUCUCUAACAUAGGUGGUGGAUGACGGUACCGGAAGAAGAAGCACCGGCUAACUACGUGCCAGCAGCCGCGGUAAUACGUAGGGUGCGAGCGUUAAUCGGAAUUACUGGGCGUAAAGCGUGCGCAGGCGGCGCAUUAAGACAGGUGUGAAAUCCCCGGGCUCAACCUGGGAAUUGCGCUUGUGACUGAUGUGCUCGAGUUCGGCAGAGGGGGGUGGAAUUCCACGUGUAGCAGUGAAAUGCGUAGAGAUGUGGAGGAACACCGAUGGCGAAGGCAGCCCCCUGGGUCGCGACUGACGCUCAUGCACGAAAGCGUGGGGAGCAAACAGGAUUAGAAACCCCAGUAGUCC
rnacentral:rRNA from 1 species